AAGUUUUGGUCCUAAACUUGCCAUUGUUUUUUAUCAAAAUUAUACAUGCAAGCCUCCACACACCAGUGAGAAUGCCCACAUAUUCUUAAACAGAAGACCGGAGCAGGCAUCAGGAUACAACAAUUAAGCCAAGGACGCCUUGCACAUGCCACACCCACACGGGCCUUCAGCAGUAAUUAACAUUAAAACAUGAGCGAAAGCUCGACUUAGUUAUGAUUAAUAUGGCCGGUAAAUUUCGUGCCAGCCACCGCGGUUACACGAAAGACCAAAAACAAUGACCAACGGCGUAAAGCGUGACUAGAGCAUCAACAACUACUAAAGGGAAAUAACUGCCAAGUUGUAAAAUACUACUGCAUGUUAGAACUACAACAACAAAACACCUUUAACCCUCUUUACCUCACGAAAGCUAAGAAACAAACUGGGAUUAGAUACCCCACUAUGCCUAGCCUUAAACAUAAAUAGUACCAACACAAUACUAUUCGCCAGAGAACUACAAGCGAAAAGCUAAAAACUCCAAGGACUUGGCGGUGCUUCAAACCAACCUAGAGGAGCCUGUCCUAUAAUCGAUACCCCACGAUAUACCUUACCUUUCCUAGCCAACCAGCCUAUAUACCGCCGUCGUCAGCCUACCUUGUGAAAGCAAUAAAGUAAGCAAAAGAGUCAAUAACUAACACGUCAGGUCAAGGUGUAGCACACGAAGAGGUAGAGAUGGGCUACAUUUUUUCAAAGGAAAAAUUACGGAUAGAAAAAUGAAACAUCCACUUGAAGGCGGAUUUAGUAGUAAAAUAAUAAAGAAUGAUUAUUUUAAACCUGCUCUGAAGCGCGCACACACCGCCCGUCACCCUCAUCU
rnacentral:ncRNA from 1 species